rnacentral:rRNA from 1 species
UACGGAGGGUGCAAGCGUUAAUCGGAAUUACUGGGCGUAAAGCGUGCGCAGGCGGUUUGUUAAGUCUGUUGUGAAAUCCCCGAGCUCAACUUGGGAAUUGCAAUGGAUACUGGCAGGCUGGAGUAUGGUAGAGGAAGGUGGAAUUCCCGGUGUAGCAGUGAAAUGCGUAGAGAUCGGGAGGAACACCAGUGGCGAAGGCGGCCUUCUGGACCAAUACUGACGCUCAUGCACGAAAGCGUGAGGAGCAAACAGG